rnacentral:rRNA from 1 species
GCCACUGCUAUUGGGGUUCGGCUAAGCCAUGCGAGUGGAGGGCGUCCCGCAAGGGAUGGCCCCGCAGACGGCUCAGUAACACGUCGUCAACCCACCUUAGGGUGGGGGACAACCUCGGGAAACUGAGGAUAAUCCCAUAGGCGGGGGAGGCUGGAAUGCGCCCCCGCUGAAAGCUCAGGCGCCCUAGGACGGGACGGCGGCCUAUCAGGUAGUUGGUGGUGUGACG